AAAGCGUUAUCACCCUGGCUCUCACUGAACUCGUGGGUUAAACUGGGAAUAACCACACUCGAUCAGGUCCUCCAGCUGAACCGCAUCAAACCCUUUCCAGACUUACAAAGGGAAUUUCACCUACCUAACUCCUCAGUGUUUCUAUACAUGCAGCUCAAGAGCAUUUUACCCACUCAUGUCUCCCAUACAGCUACAAUACAC